rnacentral:rRNA from 1 species
UACGAAGGGGGCUAGCGUUGCUCGGAAUCACUGGGCGUAAAGCGCGUGUAGGCGGUUGUCCAAGUUGGAUGUGAAAGCCUUGAGCUUAACUCAAGAAAUGCAUUCAGGACUGGAUGACUAGAGGACCGGAGAGGAUAGUGGAAUUCCCAGUGUAGUGGUGAAAUACGUAGAGAUUGGGAAGAACACCAGUGGCGAAGGCGGCUAUCUGGACGGUUUCUGACGCUAAGACGCGAAAGCGUGGGGAGCAAACAGG